rnacentral:rRNA from 1 species
CCUACGGGGUGCAGCAGUGGGGAAUAUUGGACAAUGGGCGAAAGCCUGAUCCAGCCAUGCCGCGUGUGUGAAGAAGGCCUUCGGGUUGUAAAGCACUUUCAGUGGGGAAGAAAGCCUUGGGGCUAAUACCCUCGAGGAAGGACAUCACCCACAGAAGAAGCACCGGCUAACUCCGUGCCAGCAGCCGCGGUAAUACGGAGGGUGCGAGCGUUAAUCGGAAUUACUGGGCGUAAAGCGCGCGUAGGCGGUCUGAUAAGCCGGUUGUGAAAGCCCCGGGCUCAACCUGGGAACGGCAUCCGGAACUGUCAGGCUAGAGUGCAGGAGAGGAAGGGAGAAUUCCCGGUGUAGCGGUGAAAUGCGUAGAGAUCGGGAGGAAUACCAGUGGCGAAGGCGGCCUUCUGGACUGACACUGACGCUGAGGUGCGAAAGCGUGGGUAGCAAACAGGAUUAGAUACCCCAGUAGUC